rnacentral:rRNA from 1 species
AUUGAACGCUGGCGGCAGGCUUAACACAUGCAAGUCGAGCGAGCGGCGGACGGGUGAGUAAUGUCUGGGAAACUGCCUGAUGGAGGGGGAUAACUACUGGAAACGGUAGCUAAUACCGCAUACCAUCAGAUGUGCCCAUAUGGGAUUCGCUAGUAGGUGGGGGAAUGGCUCACCUAGGCGACGAACCCUAGCUGGUCUGAGAGGAUGACCAGCCACACUUGAACGACGACACGGUUCAGACUCCGACGGGAGGCAGCAGUGGGGAAAAUUGCACAAUGGGCGCAAGCCUGUUGCAGACAUGCCGCGUGUGUGAAGAAGGCAGUCGGGUUGUGGAGCACUUUCAGCAAGGAGGCGUUACUGGCAGAAAAAGCACCGGCUAACUCCGUGCCAGCAGCCGCGGUAAUAC